rnacentral:other from 1 species
AAUCCCCUGCGGUGCCCGUUAAGGUCAUAGAUUCCUUGAACCUAUGUUGUAUGCAUCUGGUUGCAGACCGUUUGCCGCUGUUGUGAGCACCCCUUAGUCGGGUGCACCUGAUGCGGCGGGAAUGCGACCACCCUGGACCCACGGUUCAGGAUGCCGGCCUGACGACAUUCGCGGGGGUCCA